ensembl:lncRNA
UCCAAACUAUAUUAAUAAUACUAAAAUAACAAUCAUUUUACCUUUUCCAUGAGUUAGUAUUUGAAAUGAAGGGAUAGUUCAUUCAUCAAUUAAAAUUUUGUCAUCAUUUAGUCAUCCUCAUGAACACAAAUACAUUAAAAAGAUUAAAAAUGUCUUUUGUCCAUGAAAGUCAAGUCAUGAAAGUCAAAGGGGUCCAAGUGUUGUUUGGACCACAACAUUUUUGUAAGUAAACAAUGGCAGACAUUUCAAAGCAAACCUUACAAAAAACUGUGACGUUUCAACAAAUAUAUAUAAAUAUAUAUUACAUUUUAAAAGUGAUUGUAAUUCUCCUCAUUAGGAUGUAAAGUGGGCAAAAAGCGAAGGUAAGCUACAAAGUGAGGAUAAUUAUAUCUCAAGGUCUUUUAUAAUGGUGAGGCCAUGAUGGAGGUUUAAGUGUUCCCUGGUCUCCACUCUUAUGUUCUUGAAUUCCAAGUACUGCCCUCUGCUCUCGCAUCCUCCAGGAUACAGUUAUUGAUGUUCCUGAGAGUGCUUAAAGGAUUUGCAGAGAAGUCCCAGCUUCUCUUUUAUUUUAUUGCUUUAUUACAAAUUACAUUGGCAGAACUUUUCAGCGCAACUCUGUUCAGCGCAACUCACUCCAACCUCAUCUUUAGCACUCUGCAUUGUUAUCAACAGAAGAAAAGUCUUUGAAAGAACUGAUUUCCAAAGUGUUAUCCCCUUAUAGGAACAAAAAAUGCAUUUGUCAUCGAAACUAAUUUGAAGUCACAUAAGGGUACUUAGAUUUAGUCUAAAAGCGCACUUAAAGACAUAGUUCACCCAAAAAUAAAAUUUCUGUCAUUUGCUCACAUUUCCAAACCUGUAUGACUUUCUUUUCUUCUGUUGAACAUGCAGUACAUGCACAAAAAAAAUAAUAAUAAAAUAUAAAUAAAUAAAUAAAACGGCAAUCUUACUUUCUUUUGUGUUGCACAAGAAAGUUUAAGAGUGACAUGAGGGUGAGUAAAUAAUAACAUAAUUUGUAUUUUAGGGUGGACUGUCCCUUUAAGGUACUUUAACUUUCAUCCAUCACUCAAGUUCAUGAUCUGGAUUAAGAUGCCGUAUAGUUCUGUGAUCUUAACAUCUCCAUUGUGGCUCUGGAUUACCUGUGUUUAAUAGUUCAGUUUAGAUCUACCACUCUGCUGACUGUGGUUCUUUUUGCUGCAUGUUAUUCCUGCUCGGGAAUCUCAAUCCCAGGCUUUUCACGGCCACUCGUCCAAGGAGGGGGAGAAAAAGGUGGGGGAAACAAUUUCAAAGCUCCCCCGUAGCCGAUACAAAGCUGAGAACAACCCUUGGCGGGAUAAUCGUGUUUAUCCCGAGAUUAAGACGAGAUCGACAGCUGAGGUAUCCAAGGGGAAUUUUACCGUAAAACACACAUUGGUCUUUAACACGAACCCAAGAGAUGCUUCUGAGUCAUUUCUCACCACUGAUCAUUUCGUAGUUACGAAAGCAAUUCGUAACUCGUCUAUUCUUGUUAAGUGUCUUCAUUAACACGAUCCAUUCUCAAAUUGUCCUCAAGAGAUAUCUUUGGUAAAGCAUGCAUUAAAAAUGACUUCUAUAUAAGAUAUAAAUAUAUAUACAAGUGUGAACUUUCUCAGAAAGCAAUAGCAGCUUCCAUUCUCCCUGCAGUCAUGUACGUUUCCAAAUCUAAUCUGGCACUAAAUUUUUAUCACAACAGCAUGAAAUAAAAUCUCACAGAGCUGGCUUUAAGAAAUAAAUAUGUGAAGCCCUAUAACACUGGACAUAAAGAUGACAUAUGACAGGGAGAAAACUGUUAGUAUGCCAGACAAAUAUUCCCAGAAAGCCACCUCCCAUAGGCCUUUGAUAUUAUCAUGCCAGCUGCAGCAACUGCCACAUGGGGCCACAGACUGAGCCAGACAGUAAAAGCCCUCCCCCACCUCUUCUAUUCUCUGCCAAACACACGUUUCCUCGAUAUUUCAUUGUUCAUCAGUGUAUUUAUUAACGUCAAUUGUUUAUCUCACUCUAUUUUUUCCACCGCGUUGCUGUUGAGAGCAGAAAACCUCAGUUAGUGACACAGUGUCCUCGAUUGCUUUGUAUGCAAGUCCUCCAACUCUCCUGCAAUACUUGUUUUCCCCUGUUCACUGCAUCCAUCUGCUUUUUUUCUAUUUUAUUUAGCAUAAUUAAUUCCUCCUUUUUUGUGAUUCACCUUUUGCUUGCUGUGAAAUACUGUUGCUGUCCCAGUGCAAACUUUCUCUGUGGUUUUCUGUAUCACUGCCUCCAUUUUACUGGGUAAUAUAUUGUAAUGGAGCUUUAAUUAAUUGCUUGCCCAACUGCUGUGCCCUAGCAAAAGGGGGAGAGGAACAAACUGUCCUUUAAAUUCAACUCCAGUUGUUUGAGAUUUUACAUGCAAAAUGCAUUAAUAUAUACACAGAACUUUAUGAUUCAUAAAUACUUUGCAAUGCACAUCAUGCAUGAUAUCAAAUCCAUUACAUUUAUGCAUUUAGUAGAUGCUUGCAAAUCCAAGUGGCUUUGGAUACAAAAGCAAUUCGUCACGGAGCCAACAAUAAUUACAAUAAAAUAAAGAAUUAAACUGCAUACACUAAGACAAAAGAUAUACAAUAUAAAAUGCUAUACUUUAGAAUACACACUCAUAUUAAUCAAUUAGCACUGACCUUUAACGAUUUAAAACUCGAUAACAACUUGAUACUCUAGCAGGCACUGCAGAAAAGAGUGCAUCUAUUGCGUGAGCACACAUGAUUGUGCAAAUGCUCAUGCAAUUCCUGACCGCACAAGCAUAUAGUGCUGCUAACACACUCUCGAAGCAGCCUGAGAAAUAAAGCCCCAUCCUCAGCCGUUCCCUGAGGAUAGUCUCUUAGGGUUUUGGUGCUAAUUUAGGCAUCUGGCUCUGUCUGGGCCUGAGCAUCUUUCUCAGCUUAUUACCCUCCACUGUCUCUGGCACUCCAUCCGUACAGACAAUGGUGGGAAACAGGGGGGACUGCGGACCCACGUCAAGUACUCGCCUUACAAUGCUGCCAUUGUAGAAGAGGAGAGGGGUCUGGAAUAAUAAUGUGGGCACUAUCAAACUGUUUACCAACAAAGAGACUACAGCUGACAAUUUGCUCCUUAUUUAUCACAAAUCAUCAUUUGUGGUAUUGCUAUUGAUGCUUGCAUACGUGUAAGGAGAAGCUGUGUAAAAAAAAAACACACACACUCUGAAACUGAUUGACUUUCUUGCACACAGACACGAAAACACAUUUUUCAUCAUACACACAGAUGCAAAUGACCUUGUGUUGAAGUGAUUAUUGUGCCAGACACCUUGGGAGACAUUUCAAGGAAUUGCCCUUUUCAGUCGAUGAAAAAAUAUAAUCACAGUCAUGCCUAAAAUCCACAUAUGCUACUCCAUAAAGCACAUUAUGUUGGACUGCUAACAGAGAGAGCUAUAGUAAUCCAAAUGUGCUAAGGAUUUUUUUAAUAUUUGAAUUAUUCGAUUUUAUUUUUGUAUGAAUUUAGACUGGAUUUUUUUCUUAGCAGUGCAGCGCAUUAUUCUAUAGCUUUUGUGUUUGCAGAAAGGAAAAAAAAAAAACAAAUAUUUCAUUUUUCUGACUUUACGCAUGUGCACAAUCUGUUUGACUGAAAACACAAAGAACUGGUAAACCACAAAAACAAUACAUAGUUCAGCGCUUGAUUUGCAUAUUGAAAACUGGAAAAAUCUGGUAUGGGUUUGGCACUGUGCCAAGCGGCAUAAUUAACACUUUUCAUCCACUGCUCUGCAGCAGUCACAUUAUGCUCUGACAAGCAUCCACUCCCCCUGCUCGACCGCUUAUACCCACACACACAACAUGAACACGCAAAUGCGAAUGUGAACAUUUAUUCUUGCUUCUAUACAUUUGUAAACACUGUUAACAUUUGCUGUUAAACCUACAGUUUUGCUAUCAUUAUGCACCAUUUGGGCAAAUGCAGUGUUGUUGUGUUACAGUACAGCAUUAGACUCUCUGAUUAAGGGUUUAAAAUGAGUUUUGUGUCCGUAUGAGAGAUAUUUAAGCAUUGAAGGUCUUUUACAUAAAACCCUGAGAGAUGCAGAAGGAGGAAACCCCUCCCCCUCACAGCAAGAUACACAGCAUAAUUAGAAAUUCCCUAUUAAAGGUACAGUCUCUCAAUUCUAGGCUACUAUUUUGUCCAAGGACGAGUUUAAAAUGUAUGCAUUGAGUGUUUGGUCUCAAAGAGAGACGCUCAGUUUUGUAUCAUCUUGAAAAAUCUAUUUUUCUUCUGCAUGUAGAUAGAGAAACCAUUUCCAUAUAUUAAUAAUAUAAUAACAUCUAUUGAGACAAAUGUGCGGUGGUAAAUCUUAAAUCUGUAGCUUUGUGUUGUAGCAUAAUCAUAAUUUUUUUUUUUGUCUAUUACAGGCUCACAAAAACUCCUAAAUUAUUAAACCCCUGGCUAUUUCUUUUAAAAUUAUGAACAUGGAUUGUUCUUGUCUAUCAUAUGCAAAACUGAGAAAGCGAAUGCUCCUGCUAAAUAUAGAUUGCAAAAAUAAAAUUUUGCAUUCAGAAUGGACACAUUUCUGCAUUGUAUAUUUGUGUGUGUAUUUAUCCCUGGAAAUUUCUAGAAUGCUUGUAUAAUUCUCUGCAAGAAAAAAAAACAGAUAGAACACAAGCACAACAGUAACAUCGAAGUCUUUUUCUGCUUUGAAAGCAUCAAAGUCUUUUUCUGCUGAAAAGUUGGUAUUCAAAUUUGAACAUAAACAUUCAAAAUAUAGAAUGCUGCCACGUGCCGUUGCUAAAGCGCCGCUGUGCCUUUAAUUGGGGGCUCAGUUCUCUCUGCUUGUUCCUAUGCAAUUAUGUUAAUAUGCAGAGCUUGUCUGGUCUUUUUCAUUAACAGAGGCACUUGCAUCAUUGUUUCCUUUAUUUGUAAGCUCCACGGGCACCUUCCGUACAUCAGUGAUCUUUUUUACACGUCUUUUUUGAUGGGCUAUUCUGCCAAGCCUCCUCUUUUAGGAUAAAAAUAAAAAAAGCUCAUUUAUGGACAAGGAUGUCUUUUAGGCACACAGGGUUUCCACGCUCAUAGGCUACUGAAGAUUCUGGAAACGAUAAAAAAAAUCUGGGGCUGAUUCUGGGGCUAAGGAAAAUACAAGAGCGUAAGUACAAUCAUGUUUUAAAAAUAUAUCUAAUAACCAUAUGCAGUUUGUUACAGGAGAAAAAAUGGCACUGUUAUAGAAGAAAAAGAAGAGCAGAUGUAAAUAUUUCCCGUAUACUUUUUGUUCUUGUCUCUGAUCACUUGCUAGGUUUCCACUGUUGCAUAAAUUCUUUUUAUUCAAACAUGUAACAGAAUACCUCAAAAAAGUUACAUUUCUUAUUGUUGCAUAUGUUACAAUUAUAUAUAUUAUAUUAUUACUAUAUUGCUACAGACAGUUUAUUUUACAGCCUCAAUUCAGACUUUAUGGCUUGUAUUAUAGACUAUAGAGUUUUUAACUUUAAAAGAAACAGCUAUACAGAAAUAAAUAAUUUAAGGCGCGAGCGUGUGCAAAAGAUGCCAUCUGAAACUGGUCAGCUAUAUAAAUAAUAAUUUCUUGAAAUCCACUGCAUCUGUUUACUCUCAUCGGCCAACUGUAGGCUAUAAUCAUUUAUUUCAUUUAAAAAAAAGUUACAUGACAGAUAUUUCAAACAUACACUCCAUUUCUACACCUCAUUUGGUUUUAAAUAAUUUACUUAUUGUCUGUAUAUAAUAUAACAUUCUGAG